GUAGAUGCUCAUUCCAUUUUUAUGCUCGCGGUAACGCCUCAUAAUGCCGGGAAUGACGCAGAGCCGUUUACGGUGCUUAUCGUCCACCAGAAAGAUGUCGCUCACGCCUCAUCAGACACCAUGGACACAACGUUGAGUGAAGCACCUUUGUUGUCCGAAUGACCUGUUUUAACGCCCGCUGAGUUCAGCGGGCGUUUUUUU
rnacentral:sRNA from 1 species